rnacentral:lncRNA from 1 species
GAACAUCGCAGGGCUUGCCCAAGGCCGCAUGGACAGCUGCAUUGGAAGGAGACUCAUCGAUGACUCUGCAUUUUGGGGCUUUAAUUUAUCUGCCAAAUAUGGAGUAAGCCCCUGGCACGUGGGAUAUUGGAGUCUCAGCAGUGUGCACAGCAGAGUCUUGUCUCCAUGGAGUUGGAGGGCGCUGACUCCCACCAACGUAAAUUCAGUGCAGAUGCAAAAUUAGCAGAGAAGAGGGCGUGGGGUGCACUGGCCAACAGCAUGAGCCAGCCCCACCUCCGAGAGUCAAGGUGAAGCUCUGAGCCUCAGGAAGAAGCUAGGGGAGGCUGCUGUGGCUGAGAGACCUUCCCAGGACAUGGUCUCUUUCCCGACGGGCCUCUGCAGUCAGCGUCCGAAGGAGAGAUGGGCCU